GACCUCGGAUCAGACGUGAGUACCCGCUGAACUUAAGCAUAUCACUAAGCGGAGGAAAAGAAACUAAC
rnacentral:rRNA from 1 species